rnacentral:rRNA from 1 species
UGGGGAAUAUUGGACAAUGGGCGAAAGCCUGAUCCAGCCAUGCCGCGUGUGUGAAGAAGGUCUUCGGAUUGUAAAGCACUUUAAGUUGGGAGGAAGGGCAUUAACCUAAUACGUUAGUGUUUUGACGUUACCGACAGAAUAAGCACCGGCUAACUCUGUGCCAGCAGCCGCGGUAAUACAGAGGGGGCAAGCGUUAAUCGGAAUUACUGGGCGUAAAGCGCGCGUAGGUGGUUUGUUAAGUUGGAUGUGGAAUCCCCGGGCUCAUCCUGGGAACUGCAUUCAAAACUGACUGACUAGAGUAUGGUAGAGGGUGGUGGAAUUUCCUGUGUAGCGGUGAAAUGCGUAGAUAUAGGAAGGAACACCAGUGGCGAAGGCGACCACCUGGACUAAUACUGACACUGAGGUGCGAAAGCGUGGGGAGCAAACA